rnacentral:piRNA from 1 species
UCACAGGCAUCUCCCAAGCCAUGGGUC